rnacentral:rRNA from 1 species
AGUGAACGCUGGCGGUAGGCCUAACACAUGCAAGUCGAACGGCAGCACAGUAAGAGCUUGCUCUUACGGGUGGCGAGUGGCGGGCGGGUGAGGAAUACAUCGGAAUCUACUUUUUCGUGGGGGAUAACGUAGGGAAACUUACGCUAAUACCGCAUACGACCUACGGGUGAAAGCAGUGGAUCUUCUAACCGUGCGCGAUUGACUGAGCCGAUGUCGGAUUAGCUAGUUGGCGGGGGAAAGGCCCACCAAGGCGACGAUCCGUAGCUGGUCUGAGCGGAGGAGCAGCCACACUGGACCGGAACCCCGGUCCAGACUCCUCUGGGACGCAGCAGUGCGGAAUAUUAGACAAUGGACGCAAGCCUAGCCCGACCCUGCCGCGUGGGUUAAGAAGGCCUUCGGGUUGUAAAGCCCUUUUGUUGGGAAAGAAAAGCAGCAGGAUAAUCCCCCGCCGUGCUGACGGUACCCAAAGAAUAAGCACCGGCUAACUUCGUG